AGUAACGCGUGAGAAUCUGCCUUCAGGUUCGGGACAACAGCUGGAAACGGCUGCUAAUACCGGAUGUGCCGAGAGGUGAAAGCUUAAGUGCCUGGAGAUGAGCUCGCGUCUGAUUAGCUAGUAGGAGUGGUAACGGCACCCCUAGGCGACGAUCAGUAGCUGGUCUGAGAGGAUGAUCAGCCACACUGGGACUGAGACACGGCCCAG
rnacentral:rRNA from 1 species